UACAGAGGUCUCAAGCGUUGUUCGGAUUCAUUGGGCGUAAAGGGUGCGUAGGCGGCGCGGUAAGUCGGGUGUGAAAUUUCGAGGCUUAACUUCGAAACUGCAUUCGAUACUGCCGUGCUAGAGGACUGGAGAGGAGACUGGAAUUUACGGUGUAGCGGUGAAAUGCGUAGAUAUCGUAAGGAAGACCAGUGGCGAAGGCGGGUCUCUGGGCCGGUACUGACGCUGAGGAGCGAAAGCGUGGGGAGCGAACAGG
rnacentral:rRNA from 1 species